rnacentral:rRNA from 1 species
CCUACGGGAGGCUGCAGUGGGGAAUAUUGGACAAUGGGGGAAACCCUGAUGCAGCGACGCCGCGUGAGUGAAGAAGUAUUUCGGUACGUAAAGCUCUAUCAGCAGGGAAGAAAAUGACGGUACCUGACUAAGAAGCCCCGGCUAACUACGUGCCAGCAGCCGCGGUAAUACGUAGGGGGCAAGCGUUAUCCGGAUUUACUGGGUGUAAAGGGAGCGUAGACGGCAGCGCAAGUCUGGAGUGAAAUCUCAGGGCUUAACCAUGGAACUGCAUUGGAAACUGUGCAGCUAGAGUGCAGGAGAGGUAAGCGGAAUUCCUAGUGUAGCGGUGAAAUGCGUAGAUAUUAGGAGGAACACCAGUGGCGAAGGCGGCUUACUGGACUGUAACUGACGUUGAGGCUCGAAAGCGUGGGGAGCAAACAGGAUUAGAUACCCUGGUAGUC